CCGGCCGGCCGCCAACUCCCGCCAAAACAGCCGCCCGACUGGGUCAGCUAAGCCGGAAGACCAGGCUCGGCGCAUGCGCCUCAGAGCUGCCUUGAUGGCCAAUCAUGAUGCGCUCUGGGCCUGAAGCCCCAACCCCUUGACGCCUGGCACGCACAGCUUGCCCACUUCCUGUACCACGUGAUUCCAGCUGCCCAUGCUAGUGUUUAAGAACAAAGGGGAAAUUGGACUGAGUGCCAACGCUUAACCUUUGUGUUUCCUGACUGGAUGUGAUGCCAUCGACUGCUUCACGCUCCUACCCCACGCCGUUCCAGCCAUGACGGCCAGUGCCUUCAAACUGUGAGCCCAAACAAACCCUUCCUUAGGUUUGCUUUCUGUCAGGAUGCAGCAGCAGGCAACGUAUAUAAUGAUGACAGCUAGCGGCCACUGUCUUCAUCGUGAGAUCAUUUGGCAACCCAGCAAGAGACCCGAAGAUCUACACAGGACUGGAAAGGUGACUCAACAAUUAAGAGUCCACACUGCUCUUCCAAAGGACCUGAGUUCAGUGCCCAGCACCCACAUCAGGUGACUCACAGCUGCCCAUAGCUUCAACUCCACGGGAUCCAACAUCCUCUUCUGGCCUCCUUGGUACCAGCACUGAGUUGUUGUACCUGGUUCCCAUGUUAACUACUUGUGUCAAAGUGCACAAGCCACAAGAAGACUCCAAGACUCUAAAACAACAACAAAACAAAAACAAAAAAAGCAAGCAGAGGGAACCCCUUUAUUUAGAGGUAACAAGUUGCCCCCAGGCAUAGGUCUGAACAUCUUCCAGAAUCACCAUCUGUGAUAAAAAGUUCCACUGGGAAAGAAGAAAAGAAGAGGGUGGUCCCUCAGGAGGCCUCCACCCCAGGCCUGGGAGAUGUGUGACUCCCUCUGGCUCCCCUGGCUUCUGUCCUCUCUACACCUGCGUGUCCUUCCCUCUGGAAACAAAGUGCUUUCCUAGAUUCCUAGGAGAGCAACAGGAAGUUACUCUGCCAGGCUGCUGCAAGAUGGCAACAGAGGGGAGUCUGCUGCUGAUGGAACAUGAGCUACUUCUGCUCCUGGGGUCCCAGAGAGCCAGAGGAAGGCCUUCCGAAGCCCAGCAAACCGGAGAAACCCUCACAGGCCCAGCUAACCCUCCCUGGUAAGACAGAAGGGGGCAGCCCCAACCCAGGGCCCAGGCCUCCAGCAGCCCGUGGACCUUGCCCAUCCCCAAAGGCAAAGGACACAAUCCAGAACCUUUACCCAGCAUUCUAAGAGCCCUGCCAGCUCGUGGGGGUGUAUCGAAUGAUGUUGCUCUUGACCUUUGCCUGGGGCAACAUUCUUUUAUUGUUGUUCUUUUUAUUUCUUAAGACCAUCUCAUUCUACAGUCCUGGCUUAUCUGAAAUUCUCAGCAUGCAGCCCAGCCUGGCCUUGAACUCAUGGCAGCCCUUUUGCCUUAGCCUCCUUAGUGCUGAGGUGUGAUGGCAGUGGUGGCUCCUUCUCCUUCUUUCCUUCCCCCUUCCUUAGUUUUCCCCUCUUCCUUUUUCUUAUUUCUUCCUCCUCCUCUUAUUUCUCCCCCCAUAACACCGUUUAGCCAACUCAUAUAUUAUCCAACCUCAGAGCCAUCAUUCAAGGCGGGCAUCAUUCCUGCCCUCUCUAUGGAUAUAGAAACUGAGGCUGGAGGAGAGCUGCAGAUAGUAAAUGAAAGCUCUCAAGCCAUACCUUCAUCAGUGACUUCUUACACACUUUCUGUCCCCUGGAGUGGCUGGGGAAUUGCUUCAAGAUACCAAUUGGCUCAGUCUCCUUCUCUGUUCCCUGGCAGAGGAACAGAGGAACCUUUUACAAAGGUGGGAGUAAGGUACAGAUUUUAAUUUUAAAGUCCCCACAAUGUGCCUGCUCUCACCUCUGUACUUGCAUUUUCAACCAUGGUACUAGUUGCAAGUUGCAAGUGAUAGACAAAUCACUGUCUACAUUAUGACCCCAGCAUCUCCCUAGCUCAUCCCCAAGCAUAGAGCUCUGCUAAAAGGGUAGGUACAGUUGACUUAUACCGCCCCUAUGGUGACCAUCCUGCACACCAUGUUCCUGUUGGAUCCUGCACUUUCCAGUUCCCUCAGGUCCAGAAGCCAGAAGAUUCCUUAUUCCAGUGGAAUCCAGAACUUGUGUAUCCCCAAGUCCUGGGGCGUGGCAGUCAUGCCACCAACACUGAUGAACCAUUAAUCAUUUGCACUGGAGGCUGUUAAUUGAAAACUUGGUCCCUGCUUCAGCUGCCUUCCCCAGCCCUGGAUUCUUCAUCUUGGGGUCACUGAUUCCUCCCUGGUUGGGUAACAUUUGCCACACCUUCUGUAGAGAUACCUAUCCGGGCUGUUGCAGCCUGGGUGAGGAUGCUGAGAGUCUGUGUCUCAUCCUUUGCCACACACACACAGCUUGCAGGGGAGUCCACUCUGGUCUGCUCUGCUAUGGAAGGCAGGAACACAGAUGAGCUAUUCUCCCAGAGCUAACAUCCUGUGGGAAGAAUCUGUCCAGGCACACCAAGGUCUGCUGAAGCCAAAAGCAGUCAGUUGCCUUAGCCCAGCUAAGAAGGGGGUCUGAUUUUUUAUUAGUAUUUUGUAAUUACACUUUUAUUUAUUUUGUGGGGAGAAGAGGGGUCAGAGAACAACUUGUGAGACUCAGUUCUCCCUUCUAUCAUAUGGGUCUCAGGGAUCAAAGUCAUAUCCUCAAGCUUGGUGGCAAGUGCUUUUACACUUGGAGCCAUCUCUUGGGCCUUUGUGAUGGUUGCUUUUGACUUGAAACAGUGUAGAAGCCCCCGGGGAAUCCCAAUGAGGAAUCUCCUGCUCUGUGAGGGAUUUUCUUAACUGGGUUCAUUGAGAUGGGAAGACCCACCUUGAACGUGGGCAGUGCCAUUGAAUGGGCUGGGCCCUGGGACUGAUAAGGAGAGAAACCACUAAGAAUUGGCAGGAAUUCAUUAAUCCUUUGCCCUCUGUUCUUGAAUGGGGAUGCAAUACAGCUGGCUGCUUUCAGUUCCUGCCUUGACUUUCCCUCAGUUGUGAACUGUAAUCUGUAAUUAUAAGUCAAGUAAACCCUUUCUUCCUUAAAAUGCCUUUGUCAGGUUAUUUUUAUCACAGCAACAAGAAAAAAAAACUAGACAGUCUCUUAGGACUGGCUGCUUGGAAGGGCUGCUGCGUAUCUCAGCGUGCAACACCAGAGGCCUGGGAUUUCUUCCUUGAUGCUGAGACGCAAUCAUGUCCAUUGGACUUUGGUCUUCACUCUCUGAGUCUGGGAACAUAAGGGCUCUGGGUGGCCCCUGCCCUCCCUCACCUCUUCUCUUCCAGGCUGGGUACAAAUGGAGUUGGGACAGGUGUGCUAACAUGUAUCAUCAUAAUCCUAGCACUUGGGAGACAAAAGAAGGUGGAUCUCAGUAAAUUCCAAGCCAGCCUGUGACAU